UCGCAUUCAUCAGCGGUUUGUGACUCCAGUAAGGAGGAGAACAAUGAUUCCCCCACCCCCCCAAAAUCUUUGCCUUAUGUGAUUAAGAGUCGCACCGUGCUGGAUGCAGCCGUGUCCUUCUACUCCUGAGUCUUCACUGUAACUCUUCACUGUUUAGUGUCUCAAACCUCCAUUCAAAUGGGGUCCACCCAAGCCACUCACCCACCUUAACGUUUGCUCCAGCCUGGAUUGUCUCACUUGCCCUCAAAUCUCGGAGCUUCUAGCUGUGCCAACCCUCAGGAAGAUUUGGAUGGGAAGCAGUCUUCAUUCUGGCCGUAUACUCUGCAGCCGCACAGGACAGUGGGGCAGGAGCCAGGUCCCAGUUGAUCCUGAUGAAAAGUCUGAUAAAGAUGUUUAGCCUGAGUGGCAGGA